AUUCCUUUCAUAAUGUCAAAAUCCAAGGUAAUUAUAUUGGUUCAACAGUCAACAGUACGAUAACCCUCAAUAGCGUUUCAUCUCUAAUGUAGAACUAGACACAUCCACUUUGAGAUGUGUUAAAAGGUUGAUUAUCUUUUUUUAUUGCCAUCAAUGACUGCUGGCUCAUUCUAUUAUUGUGCGCAUGUGAAUACACUUCAAACUUGGGGGGCUGUUUUUUAACUAACAAUUAUCUUUCCAAUGUCAGCCCUUCCUCAGUCUGUAUUGACGGCGAGCGCGUCAACCAUCGGAGAGGAAGAGUCCGUUACACUUCAGUGUUCGGCAAGGGCAGGGGAUCCUCCUAAAAAAUGUUGGUUUUACCUGAUUAGUCCAAACGGCGAAAAGAACCUUGCCUUCGAAUGCCAGGCGACAUUUACAGGCUCUGUGCUCCUGGCAGAGAACUUUGCUCUCGCUGAGGUGAAGGUUCGGUGUUAUUACACCAACGAUCGGGGUGAGCCUGCUCCACACAGCGACAUCGUGUCUAUCACUGUAGCAAGAGGUGAGUGACAAACACAUUUGAUGGUCUGUUAUUAUACAGUGAUGCUGUGCAUGUAUAUAUAAAAAAAUAUUUAUUUAUUUAUUAGCCUAUUAUUAUUAUCAUUAUUAUUAUUAUAUAAUAUUUAUAUAUUAUUAUUAUCUAUCAUAAACGUCAGUAUGUUUGCUUUAUUAAUGAUUGGAUUCAUUUCCUGUACUGUACUGAUGUGUUUACGUUAACCCUCACCAACGUUUCAUCUCUAAUGCAGAACCAGACACAUCCACUUUGAGAUGUGUUCGAAAAGUUGAUUCUUUUAUUGCCAUCUAUGACUGCUGUCUCAUUCUAUUAUUGUGCCCAUGACAGCACACUUCAAACUUCAGGGGCUGUUUGAACUAACCAUAAUCUUUCAAAUGUCAGCCCUUCCUCAGUCUCUAUUAACGGCGAGCGCGUCUUCCAUCAGAGAGGAAGAGUCGGUAACACUUCAGUGUUCGGCAAAGGCAGGGCACCCUCCUAGAAAAUGUUUGAUUUUCCUGAUAAGACCCACUCAGGGCCAAAAAAACAUCGCCUUUGAAUGCCAGGAGACAUUUACAGGCUCUGACCUCCUGAGAGAGAACUGGUCUCUCGCUGAGGUGAAGGUUGGGUGUUUUUACACCAACGAUCGGUGGAAACCUCCGACUGCUCCACACAGCGACAUCUUGUCAAUCACUGUAAGAAGAGCCCUUCCUCAGUCUGUAUUGACGGCGAGCGCGUCAUCCAUCAGAGAGGAAGAGUCGGUAACACUUCAGUGUUCGGCAAAGGAAGGAGACACUCCUAAAAAAUGUUAUAUUUACUGGUUUAUUCAAGCGAACGAGCAAAACAAAAUCGCCUUAGACUGCCAGGCAACAUAUACAGGCUCUGACCUCUUGACACGUACCGGGGCUCUUGCUGAGGUGAAGCUUCGGUGUUUUUACACCAACGAUCGGGAUGAACCUGCUCCACACAGCGACAUCGUGUCUAUCACUGUAAGAAGAGUUGUUACUGGCAGUCCUACAUCAGUCAGUCAGAUUAGUCCUACGCCAGCCAGGCCUACGUCAAACAGACCUACGCCAGCCAGACCUACGCCAGCCAGUCCUACGCCAGCCAGUCCUACGCCAGCCCGUCCUACGCCAGCCCGUCCUACAUCAGCCAGUCCUCAAUUAGCCAGUCCUAUAACAGCCUGUACUACCACUGCGGCCACAACCGUGGAGAAUCCCAACUCAGUUGUCCCAGGCAGUCCUACGUCAACCAGCACUACCACUGCUGCCACAACCAUGGUGAAUUCCAACUCCAGUGCCCCAUAUACCCCUCCUGGGAGAAUAUUUUUAAAGGCUGCAAUCAUACUAAUAGUAUGUUGUGGAGUGAUUGUGUUUCUGAUCGUUCUGCUGUUUGCUGUUUUGCAAACUUGGAGGAGGAGAAAGAAAAACACAAUGGAAAUGAAGAGUCUCAAUACUGGAUCGUCAAAAGUGGUUAAUCGCUCCGGCAGCGGCAUCAAAAAGGAUGGUGACUACCACAUGUACAGCACUAUCUCUAAUGAGCCCAGCGCACCCAACCAGACGUUGGUGUAUGACCUUCUGCAGGCCAAUUGACCUCAUGUUCCUGCAGGUCCACGCCACUGGGAUAACAAACCCUGUUUUGCCUGGUUCGUUUUUUUGUGCCCUGCUUCAAAACAAUUUGAAUGCCACAUUAUAGAAAUGUAUGGCAAUGACUUUGCAACUAGGAAGAUCUAUGUAUGUGCGGAUAAACAAAGGCUUACAAACCAAAAACGAUGGUUGAAUGGUGAAAAAUAUGUCUGUGUUUAUUCAGUUCUUUUUUGUGUCAACAUGAUGAAUAUGGCUUCUUUAUUAUGGCCAAUGUAACAUUCUUAUAAAUUGUAUUUAGUUGACAUUCAUAUUUAGCUUGAAUUAUAUGUCUUUGCAUUUACAGAGAGGGAACGUGAAGAAAAAUAACAUUACUUUGUUUUAGCAGCAA
ensembl:lncRNA